AGUGAACGCUGGCGGCAGGCCUAACACAUGCAAGUCGAACGGCAGCACGGCAGUAGCAAUACUGUGGUGGCGAGUGGCGGACGGGUGAGGAAUACAUCGGGAUCUACCCUGUUGUGGGGGAUAACGUAGGGAAACUUACGCUAAUACCGCAUAAGAACUGAGGUUGAAAGCGGCGGACCGCAAGGCGUCGCGCGAUUGGAUGAACCGAUGUCCGAUUAGCUAGUUGGCGGGGUAAAGCCCACCAAGGCGACGAUCGGUAGCUGGUCUGAGAGGACGACCAGCCACACUGGAACUGAGACACGGUCCAGACUCCUACGGGAGGCAGCAGUGGGGAAUAUUGGACAAUGGGCGCAAGCCUGAUCCAGCCAUGCCGCGUGGGUGAAGAAGGCC
rnacentral:rRNA from 1 species